rnacentral:misc_RNA from 1 species
GAUGAAGAACGCAGCGAAAUGCGAUAAGUAAAGUGAAUUGCAGAAUUCAGUGAAUCAUCGAAUCUUUGAACGCACAUUGCGCCCCCUGGUAUUCCGGGGGGCAUGCCUGUUCGAGCGUCAUUUCACCACUCAAGCCUCGCUUGGUAUUGGGCAACGCGGUCCGCCGCGUGCCUCAAAUCGUCCGGCUGGGUCUUCUGUCCCCUAAGCGUUGUGGAAACUAUUCGCUAAAGGGUGUUCGGGAGGCUACGCCGUAAAACAACCCCAUUUCUAAGGUUGACCUCGGAUCAGGUAGGGAUACCCGCUGAACUUAAGCAUAUCAAUAAGCGGAGGA